GGGGAUUUAGCUAAGUGGUAGAGCACUUGCCUAGCAAGCGCAAGGCCCUGGGUUCAGUCCCCA
rfam:Rattus norvegicus chromosome 5, whole genome shotgun sequence.